rnacentral:rRNA from 1 species
UACCAGCUCUCCGAGUGGUAGGGAUGAUUAUUGGGCUUAAAGCGUCCGUAGCCGGCUUAGCAAGUUUCCUGUUAAAUUCAGCGACCUAAUCGUUGAGCCGCGGGAAAUACUACUAGGCUAGGAGGCGGGAGAGGUCGACGGUACUUCUGGGGUAGGGGUGAAAUCCUAUAAUCCCGGGAGGACCACCAGUGGCGAAGGCUGUCGACUAGAACGCGCUCGACGGUGAGGGACGAAAGCCGGGGGAGCGAACCGGAUUAGAUACCCGGGUAGUCCCAGCUGUAAACGAUGCGGGCUAGGUGUUGGGGUGGCUACGUGCCACUUCAGUGUCGCAGGGAAGCCAUUAAGCCCGCCGCCUGGGGAGUACGGCCGCAAGGCUGAACUUAAAGGAAUUGGCGGGGGAGCACCACAAGGCGUGAAGCUUGCGGUUC